rfam:Candidatus Saccharibacteria bacterium RIFCSPHIGHO2_12_FTLL_47_16b rifcsphigho2_12_scaffold_5537, whole genome shotgun sequence.
GGGCUCGUAGUGUAGUGGCCUAACACGCCUCCCUGUCACGGAGGAGAUCGCCGGUUCAAAUCCGGUCGGGCCCG